AGACAAUAAAGCAUAACCCCCCAUCAUGCAUCAAUUUGCAAAAUUGAAGAUUGUGAACCACACACUACUGUCUA
rnacentral:tRNA from 1 species